AGUGAACGCUGGCGGUAGGCCUAACACAUGCAAGUCGAACGGCAGCACAGUAAGAGCUUGCUCUUACGGGUGGCGAGUGGCGGACGGGUGAGGAAUACAUCGGAAUCUACUUUUUCGUGGGGGAUAACGUAGGGAAACUUACGCUAAUACCGCAUACGACCUACGGGUGAAAGCAGGGGAUCUUCGGACCUUGCGCGAUUGAAUGAGCCGAUGUCGGAUUAGCUAGUUGGCGGGGUAAAGGCCCACCAAGGCGACGAUCCGUAGCUGGUCUGAGAGGAUGAUCAGCCACACUGGAACUGAGACACGGUCCAGACUCCUACGGGAGGCAGCAGUGGGGAAUAUUGUACAAUGGGCGCAAGCCUGAUCCAGCCAUACCGCGUGGGUGAAGAAGGCCUUCGGGUUGUAAAGCCCUUUUGUUGGGAAAGAACAGCAGCAGGUUAAUACCCCGCUGUUCUGACGGUACCCAAAGAAUAAGCACCGGCUAACUUCGUG
rnacentral:rRNA from 1 species